UUGUUGAUAUUUUGAUGUGAUUCAUAAUGGUCGAAUACCUGUUGAUAGACAAACACGGUAUCUGGAGACUUGGUGCUAAGCUGUCCGCAUUCACGGAGUUCAUUUAGUUCAAUAUCGGACACAGGAUCAGCUCGCUGGGUUAUCGAUGUCAUCAUCGUUCACAAAGGCAAACCUGUCUAUACAAAGUCCGGUUUUUGGAUUCGGGUGUUCGAAAAAUUCAUCAAACAGCAAGCCCUCUAGGCCUAACACAGACGCAAACCAGGACUUGGUGGUGAUGAUCUUGGCGCCCUAGAAACAGUUUCUGGCAACAUCACAAUCUGAAUCUUGGAACUUCAAUCUGGCCAUAUGCAGUUUUGACAACAAAGACAUUAAAUGUGUUCAGAGGUUGAA